rnacentral:rRNA from 1 species
GACGAACCGUACGAACGUUAUUCGGAAUCACUGGGCUUAAAGGGUGCGUAGGCGGCGGCGCAAGUUGGGUGUGAAAUCCCUCGGCUCAACCGAGGAACUGCGCUCAAAACUGCGUCGCUUGAGGAAGAUAGAGGUGAGUGGAACUUAGGGUGGAGCGGUGAAAUGCGCUGAUAUCCUAAGGAACACCAGUGGCGAAAGCGACUCACUGGGUCUUCUCUGACGCUGAGGCACGAAAGCUAGGGUAGCGAACGGG